GACGAACGCUGGCGGCGUGCCUAACACAUGCAAGUCGAACGGAGUUAAGCCCUUCGGGACUUAACUUAGUGGCGAACGGGUGAGUAACGCGUGAGAAACCUGCCUUUCAGUGGGGGACGAACAGUUGGAAACGACUGCUAAUACCGCAUAAAGUUAUUUGGGGGCAUCCCCGGGUAACCAAAGAUUUAUCGCUGAAAAGAUGGUCUCGCGUCUGAUUAGCUAGUUGGUGAGGUAACGGCCCACCAAGGCGACGAUCAGUAGCCGGACUGAGAGGUUGAACGGCCACAUUGGGACUGAGACACGGUCCAAAACUCCUACGGGAGGCAGCAGUGGGGGAAAUAAUUUGCCAC
rnacentral:rRNA from 1 species